UCCCGUGUGGCUCAGUUGGUAGAGCAUGGUGUUUGCAACGCCAGGGUUGUGUGUUUAAUUCCCACGGGGG
rfam:Salmo salar isolate Sally breed double haploid chromosome ssa04, whole genome shotgun sequence.